rnacentral:rRNA from 1 species
UACGUAGGGGGCAAGCGUUGUCCGGAAUUAUUGGGCGUAAAGAGCGUGUAGGCGGUUCGGUAAGUCGGCUGUGAAAGUCCAGGGCUCAACCCUGGGAUGCCGGUCGAUACUGCCGAACUAGAGUUCGGAAGAGGCGAGUGGAAUUCCCGGUGUAGCGGUGAAAUGCGCAGAUAUCGGGAGGAACACCUAUGGCGAAGGCAGCUCGCUGGGACGUUACUGACGCUGAGACGCGAAAGCGUGGGGAGCAAACAGG